GACGAACCGUGCGAACGUUAUUCGGAAUCACUGGGCUUAAAGCGCGUGUAGGCGGAAGAGCACGUCGGUCGCUGAAAUCCCCCGGCUCAACCGGGGAACGGGCGCCGAAACGACUUUUCUCGAGGGACGUAGGGGGACCUGGAACUUCCGGUGGAGCGGUGAAAUGCGUUGAGAUCGGAAGGAACGCCCGUGGCGAAAGCGAGGUCCUGGACGUUUUCUGACGCUGAGACGCGAAAGCCAGGGGAGCGAACGGG
rnacentral:rRNA from 1 species